CGCGUAGGCGGUCUGGUCAGUCGGAUGUGAAAGCCCCGGGCUCAACCUGGGAAUUGCAUUCGAUACUGCCCGACUAGAAUAUGGAAGAGGGAAGUGGAAUUUCCGGUGUAGCGGUGAAAUGCGUAGAGAUCGGAAGGAACACCAGUGGCGAAGGCGGCUUCCUGGUCCAAUAUUGACGCUGAGGUGCGAAAGCGUGGGGAGCGAACAGGAUUAGAUACCCUGGUAGUCC
rnacentral:rRNA from 1 species